rnacentral:lncRNA from 1 species
UAGUUCGUCAAAACCCUGAAAGUUGGAAGAUGAGUGAGAGCGAAAUGAGAAAAACUGAUCAGUGUUGAUAAAAACUGGAUAAUAACAUUACGGUGCUACCUUUGCCUUGAUGACCAAUCAUGAAGCAGCUGCCGAGAAUACUUUGACGCUUUAAGACCUAUUAUCUCAAAAAAUCAGCACCAAGUUGACUCUAAUGUAUCUUUAAACUAACUGCUGAUUGUGAUUGAGGUAUAGAGAAUCAAUUCACAGCUUGGUAUUAGCACCCUUGAAAAAAAUUGAAAAUAAACAUGAAAAACACAAGAUGAACGUCGUAUAGGAAAGUAGUGCUCUUGGAGGAAGCAAACAGAUUCAUGCAAUCUACGAAGACUUUUCUAAAGCAUUUGAUAGGGUCAACCGUGCUAGACUUCUGACUAAUUAUAAAUUUUGGAACAAUGGGGUCAGGUUUGUCCAUCCGAUGAGCGUACCAUGGAUAAUGUCUCUCCUGAAUAUAGCAAUUGCAUGUAGGAUGUGGGAUUCUGGAUUAAUGGUAAACUUUUGUUCACCCCUCAUAUUGAAAGAGUGGUGUUGAAGGGCCAGUUACACCUUAAACUUCGUAAUGAGAUUCACAAGAGAUUUACAAAUACAUCCUGUAUAUUAUUACUUCGUAAGACUUUAGUCUUAGUCUUUCCUAUUUUAUUGUACGGGUCGCAAAUCGAGGGUCCUUAUAUUCGAAUAUCAUGCAAUCAGAUAAAUUUUGUCCAGUGGUGAUUGCUACGGUAUCUGACGUUUAAGGCCGAUCAAGUCAUGACUUAUUAUUACUACAGCUACGGUCACAUUGCUAGGCUAUAUAAAAUCCAGAUGGUCAGGUCACUUCACGAAAGCAAUGAUAUAGCUUAGUGCACAAUAUUCUCCAUGGUGAUGUAACAUGUGAGAAUGUGAAGACCAUUUUUAUGCCUAGGGACCCCAACUAUAAUUUGAGAUAUCCAUCCUACGUUGUUGAACAUUAUCAUAAAACUAAUAUGUUUUAUUUUCUGCCCUUGACAAGGCUGAGGCAUUCAUGGUUAUAUUUUUCAGAUUAUUCAUAGUUUCUUAUUUACUAUUAUCUCUUGGUAGGCGUGAAUACCUUUUAUAAAAUUUAUCCAUUCUUAUAAUGUUCACCCUAGAUGUUAAUCUUGAACACAAAUCUUUUCGAAGUAAAUUGUAACAAGGCAAUUAAUGCUCGUGUAUACUAAUAAUGAAUCAGAGUGGCCACCCAUUUGAAAUAUCGAGAAAUGUCAAGGAAUUUAGUACGUCAUAGAAAACUCAAGGAAAUGUCGGGGAAUUUUGAUAAAAUGCACGGAUUUUAAAAGCCUUGACCAUUAAAUUGAGAUUCUAUGACCAUGCGCACCGUCACAAUUUUGCUCCUCUUCUUCUUGACGAUUAUGAACUGAGUUGUUGAUUGUCACAUGAAUUCAGUAGUACGAGCAAACAGCGGUUACAGUGAUGUGUGAUUAUUCAAUAGUGUGUCAUGUUUUUAAUUUGUCAAUUUUAUACGU